AUUGAACGCUGGCGGCAUGCCUUACACAUGCAAGUCGAACGGUAACAGGUCUUCGGAUGCUGACGAGUGGCGAACGGGUGAGUAAUACAUCGGAACGUGCCCGAGAGUGGGGGAUAACGAGGCGAAAGCUUUGCUAAUACCGCAUACGAUCUCAGGAUGAAAGCAGGGGACCGCAAGGCCUUGCGCUCACGGAGCGGCCGAUGGCAGAUUAGGUAGUUGGUGGGAUAAAAGCUUACCAAGCCGACGAUCUGUAGCUGGUCUGAGAGGACGACCAGCCACACUGGGGCUGAGACACGGCCCAGACUCCUACGGGAGGCAGCAGUGGGGAAUUUUGGACAAUGGGCGCAAGCCUGAUCCAGCCAUGCCGCGUGCAGGAUGAAGGCCUUCGGGUUGUAAACUGCUUUUGUACGGAACGAAAAGACUCCUUCUAAUAAAGGGGGUCCAUGACGGUACCGUAAGAAUAAGCACCGGCUAACUACGUGCCAGCAGCCGCCGCAGUAA
rnacentral:rRNA from 1 species